rnacentral:rRNA from 1 species
AUGGCGACCAUCGAGGUCUCCAAGCCACCGUCAUCCAAGCGCAUGUCCCCGAAGGGGAGCUUCAAGCUGAGCCUGCUCGCCUGCGGCCACUGCAAGGCCACCACAGUCUCGCCCCCGGACUCCCCCACCGGCGCCGGCGCGCGGUCGCUCUCGUCCUCGGCGUCGUCCUCCGCGGGGACCUCCCGCGACCGCCAGGCGGAGCUGCGGGAGAUCUUCCGCCACUUCGACCGCGACAUGGACGGCCGGAUCUCGGGCCGGGAGCUCCGCGAGUUCUUCGCGUCCAUGGGCGACGGCGGCGCGGAGGCCGCGCUGGAGCUCGACGCGGCCGGCGACCUCAUGCUGGGGUUCGAGGACUUCGUCAGGAUCGUGGAGCGCAAGGGCGGGGAGGAGGAGGAGCGCGAGGACCUGCGGCGCGCGUUCCAGGCCUUCGAGGCCGUCAAGGGCUCCGGCCGGAUCACGCCGCGCGGCCUGCAGCGCGUGCUCAGCCAGCUCGGCGACGACCCGUCCGUCGCCGAGUGCGAGGCCAUGAUACGGGCCUACGACGACGACGGCGACGGCGAGCUCGAUUUCCACGAUUUCCACCGCAUGAUGAGCCAUGACUAG